rnacentral:lncRNA from 1 species
UAUAAACAAAAUAACAAAUGGCUGAAGAGGAGGAAACUCUAGCUUUCUCCUGUUCUCUACUCAGGUUUCCUGUCCUGGUUUCGCAAUGGCUUGCUGGCAACCGGCGUCGGAGUAAUUUCUUAUGUUCAGAGCGACAUAGGGCGAGAGGCAGCUUAUGGUUUCUUCAUUCUCGGCGGGAUUUGUGUCUCUUACGGCAGCGCCUCCUACCUUGUCAGCCUCUUCCUCCUCCGCCGCACCAUGAUGCUUGCUUUCUCCACGGCCCUGCUGAACGGCACGGUGGUCACAACAGUGGCGCUGUUCUGGCUGUGUGCCAUCUCCCUCUACAUUGGUCGCCUUGAGGUUGAGAUCAUACAGGAGGACAGUAGUGAUGAAUGCCAGGACACAGAAAAAGAUGAUGGGAAGUCGGAUGAGUAAAGACCAAGGUCCUGGAGAAUUUUGCUGCUUUCAUGAUGGUCAUUUAGAAUGUUCUCCAGCGCGCUCGGUGGACUGAGUUUUAAUGCAAUAGAUACAGCACCCAUGGGCUGUCCUGCUCAGUGUCCAAGAGCACGAAGAAAGGGCAGCUUUAUUGUAAAUAAGACACUGUGAUGGCUCCUUUAUAUUUAUUUAACAUUUUCCAGAUUGGCAGUGGGAAUUAGCAUUAGAAAAAUUGGAUCAUCGAACAGAAAUAUGGCUGCAGGAGACCCUGCUUUGGUAGCAGAUGGAUUGGUGGGAUGGCUUGCCAGCUGGGAGCGUGCGUUGCUGUCAAAAUGGAUCUCUGAUGCUUUUAAAAAGCUGGCUGUCCAUUGAGAUCCUGUGUGCCCGUCUCCCACAUACUUCCCAUGUCUGUUCUGCCAGGUAUGCAGAAGCUGGAUAUUUUAAGCCAAAUUCAGCUGAUGCUCCCUAGAAAUGUUAAAUCGCAACAGUAUCCCAUGGAGCUCAAUCCUGCUGCUCCGACGUACGUUGUAAAGUUAGCACAUCGCAUUGAGGUUACUCACUAUGCCUCUUGAGCCCAUUUUACAUCCAGAUCAGUUAAUGUUUGUAUUAAAAACAUUAAAACAAAACAAAACUGCUCUCUUCCUGUGUCUGAAUGAAAUGUACAUUCUAGGAUUACUCUGCUUUCUCACCCUCCCCAUAUCCACUUGCUGAAAGGGCCUGAUUACGUUGUUAUGCAGCUUAAACUUCCAUUGAUUUCCAUGAGUUUUGUUUCCAUAAGGGCUACAGGAUCAGGCCCUCAUGUGUGCUGCCCUUUCUCUGCUGUUGCCUUGAGAGAGGAACAGUUGUAGCUUUUUUUAAACUCCACAAGCACCAAUCUGGGAAGCGUAAGACUGGGAGUUAAGAGAGUAUGGUUCCAGUCCUACC